rnacentral:pre_miRNA from 1 species
AGCCUUUUGUAUUUGUGCUGAGUUUUUAUCAGCUAUCUGUCCAUUAGGGCUGACGCAACUCCACAAACUAAUGAAGUG